rnacentral:tRNA from 1 species
GCCCUUAUAGCUCAGUGGUAGAGUGUUAGUUUUGUAAACUGAAGGUCUGUAGUUCGAUCCUCCAUGAGGGCA